UAUUAAUAGAAGCAUAUGCAUUGGAAAUGAAAAAGUAUGUAGAAUAUUUUGUAUUAAUAUUUUUUUCUAUCAUAGUCUGAAAUCUUUGGAAUCAGCCUAGUAGGAGAAAUAGACUAUAAGAGAAAAAUAUUGACUUAACUGUGAAAAUAUAUACUAUAAUUUAAAACUUCAGAAACAGAUUAGAUAUUUUUGCAUGUAUUUGAAACUUCAUGAGUCACUUAGUGACCAAGUUUUUUUUUUUUUUUUUUUCUUUCAUUCAUUAAUUACAGAGAGCACAAUCCAACGUCUAUCUACCCUGUAUCAUGCACUGUAUUUGGCCUUGGAGAUUCUAAAAAGUUGAAUAAGGGAUCUAGUACUUGCCCUCAAGAUAUGCACUGUCUGAUAGAAGAAAAACAUGUAAAUGUGGGGAAAAUGUUAUUGAGGAUAUGAUGCAUACUUAUCAAUAUCCAGCAGAGAUGGAGAAGGGGAAUCAGUUCUGAUGGCAUGUAAGAGGGUGAACACUUCACAGCAAUUUAUGGUUGACUCUAACCCACUGUGGUUUGAGCAAGCUCUGGGAGUUGGUGAUGGACAGAGAAGCCUGGUGUGCUGCAGUCCAGGGGGUUGCAAAGAGUCAGACACGACUGAGCUGAACUAAACUGAACUGAACUCACCUAGGUUAUGCCAGAGGCAGAGAGGACAGUCUAAGUUGCAGUAGCCUGACUAACCUGUCAGCAAUUAUUGCUGCAAACACCCCAAAAUCUACAUGCACCAGCUCAGCAAGGAAGAUGUUCAGACUGGCUCUGCUGGGAGAGGCAGUGAGACAGAGAUGUGAAACACAUCAAGAUGGAGCCUGAGCACCAGAAAAAGGUCCUAGCUACUGCUUUCAGUGGAACAGUUGUUGGCUGGAGCCUGUGUGGACUGCAUUCUAAAGGUAGUUGAAUGUAGCAUACAGUCACAGGUAAGACUUGCAGAGCUGUUAUUAUGUGCCAGAUAUUCUAAGCUCUUAUAUAUGUUGACUCAUUUUAGUAAUUACAAAAACUCUUAAGGGGUAAAAAAAUUAUUAUUGUAAUUUCACAAAUGGGGAACUGAGAUAAAAAU
ensembl:lncRNA